UACGUAGGGUGCGAGCGUUAAUCGGAAUUACUGGGCGUAAAGCGUGCGCAGGCGGUUCGUUGUGUCGGCGGUGAAAGCCCCGGGCUCGACCUGGGAAUGGCCGUUGAAACUGGCGAACUGGAGUGUGGCAGAGGGGGGUGGAAUUCCGCGUGUAGCAGUGAAAUGCGUAGAGAUGCGGAGGAACACCGAUGGCGAAGGCAGCCCCCUGGGCUGACACUGACGCUCAGGCACGAAAGCGUGGGGAGCAAACAGG
rnacentral:rRNA from 1 species